AUACGGAGGGGGUUAGCGUUGUUCGGAAUUACUGGGCGUAAAGCGCACGUAGGCGGAUUGGAAAGUUGGGGGUGAAAUCCCAGGGCUCAACCCUGGAACUGCCUCCAAAACUAACAGUCUAGAGUUCGAGAGAGGUGAGUGGAAUUCCAAGUGUAGAGGUGAAAUUCGUAGAUAUUUGGAGGAACACCAGUGGCGAAGGCGGCUCACUGGCUCGAUACUGACGCUGAGGUGCAAAAGCGUGGGGAGCAAACAGAAUUAGAAACCCGAGUAGUCC
rnacentral:rRNA from 1 species